rnacentral:rRNA from 1 species
AGAGUUUGAUCCUGGCUCAGGAUGAACGCUGGCGGCGUGCUUAAGACAGGCAAGUCGAACGAAGAGUUUGUAGCAAUACGGGCUCUUAGUGGCGAAUGGGUGCGUAACACGUAGGUGACCUACCCUGAAGUGGGUGAAUAACAGUUCGAAAGGACUGCUAAUACCGCAUGUGGUCCUGGAGGUUAGAGGCUCCAGGUCUAAAGCUGCUCGCAAGAGCGGCGCUUCAGGAGGGGCCUGCGGAUCAUCAGCUAGUUGGUAGGGUAAUGGCCUACCAAGGCUACGACGAUUAGGGGACCUGAGAGGGUGACCCCCCACACUGGCACUGACACACGGGCCAGACUCCUACGGGAGGCAGCCGUCGGGAAUAUUGCACAAUGAGCGAAAGCUUGAUGCAGCAACGCCGCGUGCGCGAUGAAGGUCUUCGGAUCGUAAAGCGCUUUUCGAGGGGAUGAGGAAGGACAGUACCCUCGGAAUAAGUCACGGCUAACUACGUGCCAGCAGCCGCGGUAAAACGUAGGUGGCGAGCGUUAUCCGGAUUUACUGGGCGUAAAGCGUGUUCAGGCCGUUUGGCUAGUCGGGCAUGAAAUCUCUUGGCUCAACCAGGAGAGGCUGUCCGAUACUUCCAGACUUGAGGGUAACAGAGGGCGGUGGAAUUCCGGGUGUAGUGGUAAAAUGCGUAGAUAUCCGGAGGAACACCAGUGGCGAAGGCGGCCGCCUGGGUUACCCCUGACGCUAAAACACGAAGGCUAGGGUAGAGAACGGGAUUAGAAACCCCGGUAUUCCUAGCAGUAAACGAUGUUGACUAGGUGUCGGGAGUGUAAAAGCUCUCGGUGUCGUAGCUAACGCGUUAAGUCAACCGCCUGGGGACUACGGCCGCAAGGUUAAAACUCAAAGGAAUUGACGG